CAAUUCGUAUACGGCAGUUCUCAUCUCUCUCUCUUGGUUUUUUUCUCUUUGGAACAUUUGAGAUCUCAUCUUUUACUUCAAUCUAGGGUUUCAUAAUUUAUUCUCCUCCAAUAAUCUUUUCAAUCUCGAACUUUUUAUUUCCCAAAAUUUUCUUCUUCAUCUCCAUCACCAGCUCUAUUGUUCCCGAAAUAAGACUCACGGUUAAUUAAGAACCUGAAAAGUAUCUUUGUGAUGGCGUCGAUACAAGUAAUUGCUUCAGGAAUUGGCACUAGAAGCUUAUUGCCUUCAUUUGAUGGACUUAGUAGAUCCAGUGAGAUUGACAAGUUCCAGGACUUAAGGAACGAACUAAAGGUUCGCGGCUAUCAGCAACGGAGGCACAUUGAUACAAGCGGGGUCUUUAGACCCAACUUGUUUUUAAGUUUUAGUGUUAAUAUAUCCAUUUUGGGGGAAAAUUAGGUAGUCGAGGAUUAAAAAUAUUGUUUCUGUCGAUUUUGACCCCAGGAGUAACAGAAUUUCCCUCCGUCACUGCAGUCGUGAUGGAAUAUGGAAGGUUUGACUUAUCAAAAUUAAAAUUAGAAUUCUCACAAACAAAAAUAACAGACCAUUUGUUAUAUUGAAAGUCUGUAGUUCACUGCAUAAUAUAUCGGUGUGUUUGUGUAUUAAGGAUUCGGUUUACUCAGACGUAGACACUGAUUUUGUUAUGUUCUUUAUGUAUUGCUUUUAACAAAGAAAAUGUGGUAAUACAUGACCCAAAAGUGUUCUCUUCUUGUAUAUGAGUUUAAACAGAAUUUCUUUAUGCGUUUGCAGAUGGGUACAGGAUAAACAGUCGAUGAAUGUGCAAUUUGUUGGUGUAUCUAGUUAUCUCUUUCCUUUUUAUGACGGAUUGAUCUUUGUCUUUUUGCAUGAACCUAAUGGCAAAUAGGUUAAAUUCAUCUCGGUUUUCAUAUGACUGAUGUUCUAUGAAAUAAAUAGUCUACUGUUGAAUUAUAUAGUGGUAUUAGAGAGCUUAUUGGAGAAAUCCAGUAAUGGAUCAAAUACCACAGAUGUUAACUUCUAUUGAUGUAAAUAUUUUGUGUGAUCAGAUUCAAAUUGUGGCGUGAAGAAUCCAUAAAGUUUGGAAAUAUUGGACUUCGGGUUAGUAUUAAGCAAUUCUAUGGAGACCUCCACUAACCAGGUGUAUGCAGAUUCGCCUAAUACUGUGUUGGUCUUCUUGGGUUGGUUGUUGAGAGCAUAGAUUGGUGUCCUGAAAUUGAAGGGUAAAUUUUUUAUCUUGGAUUUGAUGUUGAGAGCAUCAAAGCUAAAAGGUCGGCAUGCGAACAACUAGUUUAUUAUGCUCAGACUCACUCCUGCCAGUCUGCAAGUAAUUUGACUGAACAAUAUUAAAAUAAACAUCUCUCGUUCAUCAGAUGGAAGUACUAAAACCCAAGUGAUGGAUGCUUUAGAUGUAUGUAAUACCGGCCUGUACAAGUUUUCUACUGAAUCAGCUGAUCGACCAUCUCCAAUGUCAAUCUAUAGUUGAGGAUAAAUUGAAGAAAGCAUCUUUUUGUGUUUCGUUUUUUGAGAUAACAGUGACAAGGAAAAAUUUAGUAAUGUUGAACCACUUAACAACAGAAAUCUCCAGCCUCGGAAACAUUAAAGCUUCUCAGCGAACACCCAUUGUGCGACAAAAAUCACAAGGUAUAAUCAUCUUUUGAGUUGACUAGACUAUUGAGUUCUCUCUUAGAACCACUAUGCAAGAGUAUGUUGUUUCCAGUUUGUUGUCUUGUUUGGUCUUGAGCUUGCAAUGUUUGGUAGUUGAUGUUAAUUACUUGUAUAUAUUAGCAUUUUGUAGAAGUCAUUUGUAGAAACAUUUGUCUGUAGAAACAUUUUUAUUAAUAUAUUUCUCUAUUUU